CCUACGGGAGGCAGCAGUGGGGAAUAUUGCACAAUGGGCGGAAGCCUGAUGCAGCGACGCCGCGUGAGGGAUGAAGGCCUUCGGGUUGUAAACCUCUUUCAGCAGGGACGAAGCGUGAGUGACGGUACCUGCAGAAGAAGCACCGGCUAACUACGUGCCAGCAGCCGCGGUAAU
rnacentral:rRNA from 2 species